AUUGAACGCUGGCGGCAGGCUUAACACAUGCAAGUCGAGCGGAGAUGAGGUGCUUGCACCUUAUCUUAGCGGCGGACGGGUGAGUAAUGCUUAGGAAUCUGCCUAUUAGUGGGGGACAACAUUCCGAAAGGAAUGCUAAUACCGCAUACGCCCUACGGGGGAAAGCAGGGGAUCUUCGGACCUUGCGCUAAUAGAUGAGCCUAAGUCGGAUUAGCUAGUUGGUGGGGUAAAGGCCUAACAAGGCGACGAUCUGUAGCGGGUCUGAGAGGAUGAUCCGCCACACUGGGACUGAGACACGGCCCAGACUCCUACGGGAGGCAGCAGUGGGGAAUAUUGGACAAUGGGCGGAAGCCUGAUCCAGCCAUGCCGCGUGUGUGAAGAAGGCCUUUUGGUUGUAAAGCACUUUAAACGAGGAGGAGGCUACCUGGAUUAAUACUCUAGGAUAGUUGACGUUACUCGCAGAAUAAGCACCGGCUAACUCUGUGCCAGCAGCCGCAGUAACAC
rnacentral:rRNA from 1 species